rnacentral:rRNA from 1 species
ACUCAAUAGAUACCCAGGUAGUCUUGGCCAUAAACGAUGUUCACUAGGUGUUGGGGGUUUCCCUCGGUGCCGCAGCUAAACGCAUUAAGUGAACCGCCUGGGGACUACGGCCGCAAGGUUGAAACUCAAAGGAAUUGGCGGGGGCCCGCACAAGCGGUGGAGCAUAUGGCUUAAUUCGAUGCAACGCGAAGAACCUUACCAGGACUUGACAUGCUACUGCAAGCCGCCGAAACGUGGUCGCCUUCGAGGGUGUAGCACAAGUGGUGCAUGGCUGUCGUCAGCUCGUGUUGUGAAAAUGUUGGGUUAAGUCCCGCAACGAGCGCAACCCUCAUGAUCUGUUGCCAGCGAGUAAAGUCGGGAACUCGGAUCAAACUGCCUCUGUAAAGAGGAGGAAGGUGGGGAUGACGUCAAGUCAUCAUGCCCCUUAGUCCUGGGCUGCACAUAUGCUACAAUGGCCGGUACAAAGAGUUGCUAGGGCGCGAGCUCAUGCUAAUCUCAAAAAGCCGGUCUCAGUUCGGAUU